AAAAUCGUGAACAAUAUGAAAAAUCAGUCAUUGGACAACUGAACAUUUUUGGCAACAAUGACAGUGCUUCAAGAACAAAGGCACCACCUCCCACCCGUGGGAAAGCAGGGCUAAAGGCAGUAAAUCCAACAAGAGCAAACAGCCCUGAAGGAGAGGAGUCACCUUCCCCGCAGCAAAGCAAGAGUCCCCGAGUUCCAAGAUUAGGAAGAAAACCUUCCUCUCCCUCACUCUCCCCUCUCAUGGGGUUUGGCAGCAAGAAAAAUGCAAAAAAAAUUAAGAUUGACCUUAAGAAAGGCCCCGAAGGACUUGGUUUCACUGUGGUAACUAGAGAUUCUUCUAUACAUGGUCCUGGUCCCAUUUUUGUAAAAAAUAUCCUACCAAAGGGAGCAGCAGU
rnacentral:lncRNA from 1 species